AUGGCGGCAGCCGAGUGUGGGAGCAGGGAGGAGAGGUGGAGCCUGGCCGGCGCCACGGCGCUCGUCACCGGCGGGAGCAAAGGGAUCGGGGGGGCCAUCGUGGAGGAGCUCGCCGGGUUCGGGGCCAGGGUGCACACCUGCUCCCGGAACGCCGCGGAGCUGGAGGAGUGCUGCCUGCGGUGGGAGGAGAAGGGCAUGCGCGUCACCGUCUCCGUUUGUCACGUCUCCGUGCCCGCCGACAGGGAGAAGCUCAUGGAUACGGUCCGGCAAACCUUCGACGGCAAGCUUAGCAUACUAGUGAACAAUGCAGGGCAACAUUUGGUGAAGCCCACCGUUGAGUGCACGAUGGAGGAGUACAAGAAUGUGAUGGCCACCAACCUGGAGUCCAGCUUCCAUCUCUGCCAACUCGCUCGCCCUCUUCUCGCGCGGGCCGUAGGAGGCAACAUCAUCAACAUCUCCUCCAUUGCAAGCUCCAUCGGCUUCGCAGGCUCCACAAUCUAUACCAUCACAAAAGGCGCACUGAACCAACUGACGUGGAGUUUGGCCACCGAGUGGGCCCCUCACAACAUCCGUGUGAACAGUGUCGCCCCAGGAUUCAUCGCAACUGAUAUGGUUGAAAAAAUAAAUAAGGAGUACAUGGAGCGGGAGCACGCGAAGACCCCGUUGCGACGGUGUGGCAAGCCAGCAGAGGUUGCCUCGACGGUGGCAUUUCUCUGCAUGCCGGCGGCUUCCUUCAUCACCGGGCAGGUCAUCUAUGUUGACGGUGGUCGAACCAUUAGUGCUUAA
rnacentral:rRNA from 1 species